rnacentral:pre_miRNA from 1 species
CAACUACUCCCUCUAUCCCAAAUUUCUUGUCUUAGAUUUGUCUAGAUACGGAUGUAUCUAAUACUAAAAUGUGACUUGAUACAUCCAUACCUAGACAAAUCUAGGACAAGAAUUUUGGGAUGGAGGGAGUACUUU